UCCUUUCAGGUUAAUUUUCUUCGUUCGUCCCUUCGAUAUCACACCACCUAUAAGUCCUCGAGGGACUCAGAUUUUGCAAUGCACAUACAGUAUCGGAUGCAACUCGGGGGUUUUCUUGGUCGAGCCGUUCACUGUGAAGAGACUUACUUGGUCCGGGUCAUGCCAGAGUUCGAUCAUUUUUUAAGAACUAAAUCUUGGAAAAAAGCACAUCAAAGAAAAACAUGUUGCUGCAGCUUGGACGGCUCUCCAACAUCUCAUCCAGUGUAAUGACGACAAUGAUUUCCAACAACCUGAGCGAGGGUCUGUUCCUUCCGAUUUAUUCUUGAAGUUAUAAUACGAUAAAAGCGUAGUUUUGCGGCCUUUUGGUACAAAAUCCCAUAUCAGGAACCAUGUACAUGCCUCCAGAGAUGGCCGGAUAUGGAAGCCCAUGAAUCCGGAGUUCCUCUGGCUGGCUCCUGCUCUAUGACAUCGACACCAGUUGAUUUCACUAUACAAAACUAAGACACCGUCGAUUGCUCGGCAAUCUCUUGGGUAUCCAAUAGUGAAUGAUAAAUGCGAGCAAGAUGUCAUGUCGUGUACAUAGCAAAUCAAAGAAAAAGAAGUAGGUAAAUAGAAGAUUCAAGAUGCCUAUAAUAAUCAACUGAGCCGACUUGAUAUUUUGGCAUUAUAACCACAAAUAAGAACUCUUAAAUUUUUACUCCUUAUUUUCAGAGAAGUGAUAAAAGGUUGAGUACGAAGUUUUAAAUA